ACAAAGGCCAUUUUCUUUCUGGCCAUUCAGGGAGAGGGGUGUUCCAGUUUCAGGAAUAGAAUUAGGGGAGCAAGCUGGUGUUCACCGCACCCUCCAGUGAUCUCUGAUGAUAUGCGGGGAUAAUGGGUUACAAAGACAGACAUUAAUAAGCUACUUGUGCAAGAAGCUACAAUGAGAAAAAAAAUAGCAAGAAAUAGAUGAGGGAAGGAGGUUCUGUAGAGGGAAAAACAAAGAGAGAAAAGAACAAUGAAUUGUGCUGAGAAAGAGAUGCCUGGAUGAAGAAGCUGGCCCUAGCACCCAUAAAGCUGGAAAGAAAGUGGGGCCUUGGAAACUUCUGGAAGGAUGCGAGGAAAGAAAAAUGCAAGGAAAUGAGAUGGAGAGGAGAAAGAGAAACCAGGAAGCACUUCGGAAGCAUGUAAAUUACAAGGAAAUGAGGAACAGCCUUUAUUGAAACAGUCUGUGAAGUCUGUGCUAGCGCUGAGAGCUUCAUUUUACUGUCCUGGCAAGGAGGUGUGGCCCCUCUCCAGUGCCCAGCACCUCAUCGCUGUGGUAACAGAAGACACGCUUAUCUUCCGGAUUUUGCCUCAGAGACUUGG
rnacentral:lncRNA from 1 species